rnacentral:rRNA from 1 species
AGUGAACGCUGGCGGUAGGCCUAACACAUGCAAGUCGAACGGCAGCACAGUAAGAGCUUGCUCUUACGGGUGGCGAGUGGCGGACGGGUGAGGAAUACAUCGGAAUCUACUUUUUCGUGGGGGAUAACGUAGGGACACUUACGCUAAUACCGCAUACGACCUACGGGAGAAAGCAGGGGAUCUUCGGACCUUGCGCGACUGAAUGAGCCGAUGUCGGAUUAGCUAGUUGGCGGGGUAAAGGCCCACCAAGGCGACGAUCCGUAGCUGGUCUGAGAGGAUGAUCAGCCACACUGGAACUGAGACACGGUCCAGACUCCUACGGGAGGCAGCAGUGGGGAAUAUUGGACAAUGGGCGCAAGCCUGAUCCAGCCAUGCCGCGUGGGUGAAGAAGGCCUUCGGGUUGUAAAGCCCUUUUGUUGGGAAAGAAAAGCAGCAGGUUAAUACCCCGCUGUUCUGACGGUACCCAAAGAAUAAGCACCGGCUAACUUCGUG